rnacentral:ncRNA from 1 species
GGAAGCCGGUGGGAAUCCGGCGCUGACGCGCAGCCGUGAGUCGGGGACGCCCCGACGAGUCGGAAUGC